rnacentral:misc_RNA from 1 species
GACGGCACACACACUCGCUGUUUUCCUUAGCUCUUGUCGCUCGAUAGCACGUACCCCUUUCGCGCUCUCUUGUACUCAUUGCCUCAGCCACCACUCAUCGCGCCUGGCCCACCCCCUCUCCCUCCACAUCCUCGAUUCGGGGCACCCGCGUUAUUAACUGAUCGCGUGUGUCCUCGUGUCUCCAGCGCUCCAUCGACUCCUCUUACCUGUCUUCCCUGCUGCUACACCUUCCCUGCUACUUAGCACAACAAUACGCACACGUGCAACUUGCCGCGGCACACGUCUUCCCUUGUGCAUGUUGUUUUACCUUGCUGGGUCGCGCUUUCACAGAGGCAGCCGAAACGGCGAAAAAAAAAAAGGAAAACGAAUAGGAUCGGAUCCGGUACUCAUUGCUCUUCUUAUCUGUCUGUGUGUGCGUGUGCGCAUCUGUGCCGCUCAUCGACCCUCUCCUCCCCUCCCUUCCCUGCCUGCCUGCCACGUUUGAUGACGCGCCUGUUUAGACCAACUCUCUACUCUCUCUCUCUCCCUCUCCCCCCCCCCUUCUCUCUGCGUGCGUGCGUGUGUCUGUCUUCUUGAUUUCCGUCGUUGUAUCUCGUCGUCUUG